UACGAAGGGGGCUAGCGUUGCUCGGAAUUACUGGGCGUAAAGGGCGCGUAGGCGGUUUGGUUAGUUAGGCGUGAAAUUCCUGGGCUCAACCUGGGGGCUGCGCUUAAUACAGCCAGACUAGAGUGUGAAAGAGGGUCGUGGAAUUCCCAGUGUAGAGGUGAAAUUCGUAGAUAUUGGGAAGAACACCGGUGGCGAAGGCGGCGACCUGGUUCAUUACUGACGCUGAGGCGCGAAAGCGUGGGGAGCAAACAGG
rnacentral:rRNA from 1 species